rnacentral:rRNA from 1 species
GAUCAACGCUGGCGGCGCACAUAAGACAUGCAAGUUGAACGGACUUAAUCGAAAUAUUUAUAUUUUGAAGCGGUUAGUGGCGGACUGGUGAGUAACGCGUAAGGAACCUGCCUAUUAGAGGGGAAUAACAGUGAGAAAUCAUUGCUAAUACCGCAUAUGCCAUAGAUAUCACAUGAUAACAGUGGGAAAGGAGCAAUCCGCUAAUAGAUGGCCUUGCGUCUGAUUAGAUAGUUGGUGGGGUAACGGCCUACCAAGUCGACGAUCAGUAGCCGGACUGAGAGGUUGAACGGCCACAUUGGGACUGAGAUACGGCCCAGACUCCUACGGGAGGCAGCAGUCGGGAAUAUUGCGCAAUGGAGGAAACUCUGACGCAGUGACGCCGCGUAUAGGAAGAAGGUUUUCGGAUUGUAAACUAUUGUCGUUGGGGAAGAGAAAGGACAGUACCUAAGGAGGAAGCUCCGGCUAACUACGUG